rnacentral:lncRNA from 1 species
AGCAAUGUGAGAGAUGAAGCGAAUGGAGAAAGAAGGAGGCGAAUGGAGAGAGGAGCAGGCGAAUGGAGAGAGGAGGAGGCCAAUGGAGAGAGGAGGCGACAGACCCAAGCCAAAUUGAACGAAGGAUAAAAAUGAAACCGCGAAAAUUAAAUUUCAUACAUUUCGUUUUCCAAAAUUAUCCUCCGGAUCAUUUAAAAAAGAGUUGAGUUUCUUCACCCAAACAACCAACCGAACGAGACCAUGUGG